rnacentral:rRNA from 1 species
GUGCCAGCAGCCGCGGUAAUACAGAGACCUCAAGCGUUAUCCGGAUUUAUUGGGCGUAAAGAGUCUGUAGGCGGUUUAUUAAGUUUUCGGUCAAAUCUUAGGGCUCAACCUUAAGACUGCCGGAAAAACUAGUAAACUUGAGAAUGGGAGAGGCAAGUGGAACUGUCGGUGUAGUAGUAAAAUGCGUUAAUAUCGACAGGAAUACUCAAGGCGAAGGCAUCUUGCUGGAACAUUUCUGACGCUGAGAGACGAAAGCGUGGGUAGCGAAUGGGAUUAGAUACCCCAGUAGUCCACGCCGUAAACGAUGGAUGCUAGACAUUGGCAGUAUCGACCCUGUCAGUGUCGCUGAACUAAGUUAACACGUUAAGCAUCCCGCCUGGGGAGUACGAGCGCAAGCUUAAAACUCAAAGAAAUUGACGGG